rnacentral:misc_RNA from 1 species
GCAAACUUGGUCAUUUAGAGGAAGUAAAAGUCGUAACAAGGUUUUCGUAGGUGAACCUGCGGAAGGAUCAUUACUGAAGUACAGGGUGGAGUGCUGGCGCAAGCAUGUGCACCCUCCUUCCUUCACUCUCACACACCUGUGCACCCGUUGAGGCCGGUCUUCCGGGAGCAGGCCCAGUGGUCUUACCUGACGCUUGGCCCGAAGUCUUGCCUACAUUCUUCACAAACUCUGUUGCUUGUCCCGGAAAGUAGUCGCGGCUUCGCCGCAAAACUAAUAUACAACUUUCAACAACGGAUCUCUUGGUUCUCGCAUCGAUGAAGAACGCAGC